AGCUAUGACACUAAUGGGGCACAACUGGAGAUCCUAGGGGGAACAGAAAUUCUUUACAGAUGGUUGGCUGAGAUCCAGUCCCACUCCCUGGGGAGUUAAUGCCAUCCUUGCCUUUAUAUGUGGACUGGGGCACUUUUUCCUAUUACUUUCCUAUUUGCAGCCUGAUGCGUCCUUACCACCAUGCAAGAAAUACAGGAAGAGCAGGAAGUACCAAGGGGAGCCACAGAGAAGGAGGAGCAAGAGAAGCUAGAAACACCAGACUCUGAAAGGUGAGCAUCUGCCACUCACCCCUGCGUGCCCCAGUUACACUGAACCCCCUGCUCUGAGGGCCCAGCCCCACUGUCUCCAGGACACCAGGACCUGAGCCCAUCCCUCAGGAAACAGAGCACUGGGUGGGAGGUGGGGGGGCUCCCAGGAGGAAGUGGGGAACCUGGAGGCUUCCCAGGUUCUGGGCCAGAACGAAGCCCUGAGGGGCUGGAAAUGGGUAUCACUCAGCAGGGCCCCAGGACCUGGACUGGGGGCGGGACUGCUUGAUCCCACUGUGGACAAGCUGUUCAACUCUGUUCAGAUUCCUCUUUGAGGCCACGCCAUCC